AGAAAAAAAGAAAAGAAAGGGUCCCAUUUUUCCUAUUUUCUCUUUGGUUUUCAUACAAAAAAAUUGUGAUCUACGAAGAUCUAACCGUCCAAACUCAAAUCCGAAUUUUGGAAACAUGAUCUACGAAGUCCGAUCUACGUUUCUACCGAUCGUUUUGAGGUAAUGAGUUACUUAGAACUUGAUUGAAGCUACCCAAACCUUGGGUUUUGGUUUGGUGAAAUUUGGUGAGUUUUGGUGAGUUUUGUGAUACAUUGCAAGGUGGCGUCUAGGAGACCUAAGCUUGGUAUCAGCGCAAUCAGAUUAUGAACAGAGCCAGAUUGAAGUUUGAAUAGAGCCAGAGAAGCUCAGAAAAGAAGAAAGAGCUAGUGAUUCAGUGAAGCCCAAAGCCAGAGAAGCUCAUCAAAAAAAUAUUUUGGUAUCCAAAGAUAGAGGUUAUCAUUUGACAUUUUGGAACUAAACUUUUUUGUUCAUGUAAUUUUUUUUUUGGCGCUCCCUAGCAUUGGCAUUGAUGUUGUAACUUUUGUUGAUGUAAUUGUUCUUGUAGGUUUUGGUAUGGUACCAUGUACAAAAAAUCUU